AGGCCGCGGUGCAAGGGUACAAGGAUGGAGUUAAAGGGAAAGACAUGACAGGAAAAGUGAAGAAAAACACCAGAAUUAACGGGGCAGGAAGGGAUAGGAGAGUAAGGCCAAGUGAAAUAGGAAUGGAUGUGAAAGAUGACACAAAGAUGGGUGGCAGUGUAAACUGUGAGGAGGAUGCUAUGAGAAUGCAGGGUGACUUGGACUGGUUGGAUAGCUGAGACUCCGAACUUUCGACGCAAAGACGAGGAACAGCCUCGAGAAUUAGGGGCACGCUCUCAUCUGCUUGCAAGAACAACAACAGAGG